rnacentral:rRNA from 1 species
UACGGAGGGGGCGAGCGUUAUUCGGAAUUAUUGGGCGUAAAGGGUGCGUAGGCCGCACGGUAAGUCAGAGGUGAAAUCCCGGAGCUCAACUUCGGAAUUGCCUCCGAUACUGCCUGGCUAGAGUACUGGAGAGGAGAUUGGAAUUUACGGUGUAGCAGUGAAAUGCGUAGAUAUCGUAAGGAAGACCAGUGGCGAAGGCGGAUCUCUGGACAGUUACUGACGCUGAGAUACGAAAGCGUGGGGAGCAAACAGG